UGCUGGAGGUAUCAGAAGUGCGAAUGCUGACAUAAGUAACGAUAAAGCGGGUGAAAAGCCCGCUCGCCGGAAGACCAAGGGUUCCUGUCCAACGUUAAUCGGGGCAGGGUGAGUCGACCCCUAAGGCGAGGCCGAAAGGCGUAGUCGAUGGGAAACGGGUUAAUAUUCCCGUACUUGGUGUUACUGCGAAGGGGGGACGGAGAAGGCUAUGUUGGCCGGGCGACGGUUGUCCCGGUUUAAGCGUGUAGGCUGGUUUUCCAGGCAAAUCCGGAAAAUCAAGGCUGAGGCGUGAUGACGAGGCACUACGGUGCUGAAGCAACAAAUGCCCUGCUUCCAGGAAAAGCCUCUAAGCAUCAGGUAACAUCAAAUCGUACCCCAAACCGACACAGGUGGUCAGGUAGAGAAUACCAAGGCGCUUGAGAGAACUCGGGUGAAGGAACUAGGCAAAAUGGUGCCGUAACUUCGGGAGAAGGCACGCUGACACGUAGGUGAAGUGAUUUACUCAYGGAGCUGAAGUCAGUCGAAGAUACCAGCUGGCUGCAACUGUUUAUUAAAAACACAGCACUGUGCAAACACGAAAGUGGACGUAUACGGUGUGACGCCUGCCCGGUGCCGGAAGGUUAAUUGAUGGGGUCAGCGCAAGCGAAGCUCCUGAUCGAAGCCCCGGUAAACGGCGGCCGUAACUAUAAC
rnacentral:rRNA from 1 species